UACAGGGGGGGCAAGCGUUGUUCGGAAUUACUGGGCGUAAAGGGCUCGUAGGUGGCCAACUAAGUCAGACGUGAAAUCCCUCGGCUUAACCGGGGAACUGCGUCUGAUACUGGAUGGCUAGAGAUUGGGAGAGGGAUGCGGAAUUCCAGGUGUAGCGGUGAAAUUCGUAGAUAUCGGGAGGAACACCAGUGGCGAAGGCGGCGAUCUGGGAAGAUACUGACGCUGAGGUGCGAAAGCGUGGGGAGCAAACAGG
rnacentral:rRNA from 1 species